rnacentral:sRNA from 1 species
AGUCUACAUGAAAAGGAUGGUUUCUUGGAGCUUCCACAAACUUAAAACCAUGAAACAUCUAUUAUUGCUACUAUUGUGUGUUUUUCUAGUUAAAUCCCAAGGUGUCAACGACAAUGAACAGGGUCUCUUCGGUGCCCGUGGUCAUCGACCCCUUGACAAGAAGAGAGAAGAGGCUCCCAGCCUGAGGCCUGCCCCACCGCCCAUCAGUGGAGGUGGCUAUCGGGCUCGUCCAGCCAAAGCAGCUGCCACUCAAAAGAAAGUAGAAAGAAAAGCCCCUGAUGCUGGAGGCUGUCUUCACGCUGACCCAGACCUGGGGGUGUUGUGUCCUACAGGAUGUCAGUUGCAAGAGGCUUUGCUACAACAGGAAAGGCCAAUCAGAAAUAGUGUUGAUCAGUUAAAUAACGAUGUGGGAACUAUUUCCCAGACCUCCUCUUCUACCUUUCAGUACAUGUAUUUGCUGAAAGACCUGUGGCAAAAGAGGCAGAAGCAAGUAAAAGGUAGAUAUCCUUGUGCUUUCCAUUUGAUUUUCAGCUAUAAAAUUGGAACCGUUAGACUGCCACAAGAAUGCGUGGUU